AGUGAGGCACAACUCGAUUAAAUGCCUUGCCUAAGGUCAACACGCCUGUUAGGGGUAGAACUAACUGACGACAGAGGAAGCCGUUUAACCCCCUGAAAUCUACAAGUAGUCUGGGAAGAGGCAGAGAGGAUUCCUUUAGGCGUGAAGGAAGAGUGGACUUGACAGUAGAGACCUGAGAUCCAGGACGGGAGGAGGGAAGAGGCUCGCUUGACUGUCACAAGUUUGAUUUUGCUGAAACAGACUCCAGGAAGGGCAGGGAUGAGAGAUGAGGCCACAAUACAGUUAUAGGAUGGUAAUGAGCUUCCCUUUGAGCUGAGGCACUAACCUGAGUUUAUGCCCCUGGAGACUUUUGCUCUUCAGGCAAGCAUACUUCGCGGUGUACACGUCAUGUUGUUUCAGGUGUGAGGUGCUGUGUUUUCAGUGAUUCCAGAUGAAGCAGUGGCCUAAAGCAGAGAAGGACGCAUUCUCAGAUCAUGCGAUCACCGUAACGGGGCCUCAUCCACCUUCCCAGAGAUUUCCUGAGCGGCUCCAUUUCAGAUCUUAACACCAACCACUACCCCACAUUUUCUCUCCACCACCACACGUUAGCCGGGGAAUAGAACAAAAUGGUGAAUUCAGUGGGGAGAAGUCCCUUCACUGUAAUUCCCUCAUGGGGGGAUUAUUCUCUCCUCUCUCAAUGGGAAAAUGCAGUCAGUGUCCCCCAGAAAAGGGGAGAGGCAGAAGACACUUACGAAGACUUGGGUGAGUGACCAUGGUUGGGGUGCUGCUAGGAACCCCACAGCAGAAGGAGCAAAAAUUAUAGAGGACUGAAGCCCCGUGAGAUUUCAGGAUAGCACCCCUGAGGGACGUUAUUGGGAAAAAAAUAAACAGUAGUUGCACAUGCAUACUCCAAUAAGGUAA